rnacentral:rRNA from 1 species
UAAUACGGAGGGUGCAAGCGUUAAUCGGAAUUACUGGGCGUAAAGCGCACGCAGGCGGUUUGUUAAGUCAGAUGUGAAAUCCCCGGGCUCAACCUGGGAACUGCAUUUGAAACUGGCAAGCUAGAGUCUCGUAGAGGGGGGUAGAAUUCCAGGUGUAGCGGUGAAAUGCGUAGAGAUCUGGAGGAAUACCGGUGGCGAAGGCGGCCCCCUGGACGAAGACUGACGCUCAGGUGCGAAAGCGUGGGGAGCAAACAGGAUUAGAUACCCUGGUAGUCCACGCUAGUAAACGAUGUCGAUUUGGAGGUUGUGCCCUUGAGGCGUGGCUUCGGAGCUAACGCGUUUAAAUCGACCGCCUGGGGAUACGGCCGCAAGGUUA